UGUGUGUUAGUGGAAGCGUCUGGAAAGGCGCGCGAUACAGGGUGACAGCCCCGUACACAAAAAUGCACAUGCUGUGAGCUCGAUGAGUAGGGCGGGACACGUGGUAUCCUGUCUGAAUAUGGGGGGACCAUCCUCCAAGGCUAAAUACUCCUGACUGACCGAUAGUGAACCAGUACCGUGAGGGAAAGGCGAAAAGAACCCCGGCGAGGGGAGUGAAAAAGAACCUGAAACCGUGUACGUACAAGCAGUGGGAGCCUCUUUUAUGGGGUGACUGCGUACCUUUUGUAUAAUGGGUCAGCGACUUAUAUUCUGUAGCAAGGUUAACCGAAUAGGGGAGCCGAAGGGAAACCGAGUCUUAACUGGGCGUUAAGUUGCAGGGUAUAGACCCGAAACCCGGUGAUCUAGCCAUGGGCAGGUUGAAGGUUGGGUAACACUAACUGGAGGACCGAACCGACUAAUGUUGAAAAAUUAGCGGAUGACUUGUGGCUGGGGGUGAAAGGCCAAUCAAACCGGGAGAUAGCUGGUUCUCCCCGAAAGCUAUUUAGGUAGCGCCUCGUGAAUUCAUCUCCGGGGGUAGAGCACUGUUUCGGCAAGGGGGUCAUCCCGACUUACCAACCCGAUGCAAACUGCGAAUACCGGAGAAUGUUAUCACGGGAGACACACGGCGGGUGCUAACGUCCGUCGUGAAGAGGGAAACAACCCAGACCGCCAGCUAAGGUCCCAAAGUCAUGGUUAAGUGGGAAACGAUGUGGGAAGGCCCAGACAGCCAGGAUGUUGGCUUAGAAGCAGCCAUCAUUUAAAGAAAGCGUAAUAGCUCACUGGUCGAGUCGGCCUGCGCGGAAGAUGUAACGGGGCUAAACCAUGCACCGAAGCUGCGGCAGCGACGCUUAUGCGUUGUUGGGUAGGGGAGCGUUCUGUAAGCCUGUGAAGGUGUGCUGUGAGGCAUGCUGGAGGUAUCAGAAGUGCGAAUGCUGACAUAAGUAACGAUAAAGCGGGUGAAAAGCCCGCUCGCCGGAAGACCAAGGGUUCCUGUCCAACGUUAAUCGGGGCAGGGUGAGUCGACCCCUAAGGCGAGGCCGAAAGGCGUAGUCGAUGGGAAACAGGUUAAUAUUCCUGUACUUGGUGUUACUGCGAAGGGGGGACGGAGAAGGCUAUGUUGGCCGGGCGACGGUUGUCCCGGUUUAAGCGUGUAGGCUGGUUUUCCAGGCAAAUCCGGAAAAUCAAGGCUGAGGCGUGAUGACGAGGCACUACGGUGCUGAAGCAACAAAUGCCCUGCUUCCAGGAAAAGCCUCUAAGCAUCAGGUAACAUCAAAUCGUACCCCAAACCGACACAGGUGGUCAGGUAGAGAAUACCAAGGCGCUUGAGAGAACUCGGGUGAAGGAACUAGGCAAAAUGGUGCCGUAACUUCGGGAGAAGGCACGCUGAUAUGUAGGUGAAGCGACUUGCUCGUGGAGCUGAAAUCAGUCGAAGAUACCAGCUGGCUGCAACUGUUUAUUAAAAACACAGCACUGUGCAAACACGAAAGUGGACGUAUAC
rnacentral:rRNA from 1 species